AGCAGACCAUUCUACUUGGUGUGGAGGUAGUGCAGUAGCUGCUGAUGUCUUUCUACAACUGCAGCAAUUGGAUGUUCACUGAUACACAGAUUUGGAAGCUUAAGGUAUUGCGCUCCGAGGAGCUUCAGAAUAACAAGCCAAACCGCUAAUUUUCAAGCCAACAUCCAUCAAACAGUUCUCAUUAUUGUCUUUCAUCUAUUGCUUUAUUAGACGAUACAUACCAAGUUUGAUUUGAAGUUAUUGAUUCCAGUGAGAAAUUCGUGUAACAUAUUUUAAUCAUUCUUUAAUAAAGGUGUACAACAAAAACAUUCUACUAUGUAAUGUUAUCCCAGUAACAUAUAACAGUAAUUCCCGCAGCAAAGCGCGGGCGAGUAUUACUAGUUAUUAUACAUACAUCUAAAGCCGAAACACUAUUCCUCGCACUGUUCAUUUAACAGUAAAAUGGCGGUUCUGCCCUCGCUUUUUCUCACAAUUUCAGGCUGCCAUUGACCGAGGUAUACUAGAUGUUUCCAUCGGUUUCUUCUUUCUUCUACGGACUGUUUCUUUUGUUCUCACUGCACUCCCUCUCCUCCCAUCUCAGCGAUUUCUGUUCGGUAUUCAUCUUGAGCCGACGUCAUCACUAGCGUGGUGCUUCAAUCGAUUUCUCAAGUUUGAGACUUUGUGCAUGUGUCUACUGCUUGCCUUCUCAAUUUUGGUGGCUGAGAGGGAAGAGUGUUGGUUCAGGGAGAGCGAGUAGAAAGAAAGCCAUCCUUGACAGCCGCAGAGGAAGAGAGAGAGAUAUUCAAGAAGCGAAAAUCUGGGUUGCUCUUCUCAAUCAAAUUGUCAAGGUUUUUGUUGCAUCUUUUGCAUUGGUUGGGUUAUAGUUUGAAAAAGGAGGGAGCUAGAGUCGUCAGUUUUGUUCUGCUGGAGAAACCACAGAUAUAUCAGCUAUUGUAGUGUUGGGAUCAGAUUGUGCUCAAAUUGUGCAUAUUGAAGGGGGAGAGGUUUGAAGUGGAAAAAAGAAAAAAAGAAAAAAAGAAAAAAAGAAAAAAAGAAAAAAAGAAAAAAAGAAAAAAAGAAAAAAAGAAAAAAAGAAAGAGCAGACUGGUGAUUGAGCGAAGGAGAAAAGAACGGUUGUGGGUCUGGUUUUGUGAUUGAAAUUAUCUGCCUGUUAAUUCAGACGUUGAAUCGAUCAGUACCUCGACGUGACAUAAGCGUCGAAGCGUUCAUCAUUAGCAAGCAAACAGACCCGCGGCAUCGCGCGGGAGGAAUUGCCUAGUAACUAUACUAAAACUCAAACAGGAAAACGACAAACGAAAUGAAUAGUGCGCUGACGAUUCUGCCCUUGGCUCCAGCCUGAUUUUACAAAAAAGACCAGCUCCACCUAAUCGCUUCCUUCCUGUGGUACCGGCAAACAGAGGGAUAAAGGUUCAGACUUUCAGAGUGAGAGUGGAAUUUGAUCCCUCAUUUUGGGUGGCUGAUCGGUGCAGGCAGAAAGAGAGAGGGGGAGAGAGAGAGCAUAAAAUGGCCAUCGUUGAGAGAGAGUGAUGAAUUGUUUAGCUCUUCUUAAUCAAAUUGUUAAGGUAUAGUAGUUUUUGAUUCUUUGCUUGGUCUGUACAGAGAGCGAGAGAGAGAGGGGUUGUUUCGUUUUGGUUAUUUGCUGGACUUGCAGAGGGAGGGAGGGGGAGAGAGAGAGGUGGGUUGCUCUUUGCUUCGAUGCACGCAUUUUCUAAUAAAUUUCCAAGGUAAAUUCUAUUUCCAGACUCUGUUUGAUUUCAAUUUGUGUUAUGAUGAAGAUAAUUUAUGGAUUCUAAUGAUUAUCUUUUGCAUGCAACCUAACCCCAUAUUUGUGCAGUUCAUAAGGUAGUUUUGGGGCUGACUGUACCAGUUCUCCGUUUUACUGGUGCAUACUGUUUAGUGUUGUGUGGUUAUUUGAGUGAGUCAAUUGGUUGGUUUAUACCAGGUGGAAGAGCUGAAUGUAUCAAUGCCUGUGCUAUAUGGUUUCUAUAAUAUUCCACCACUCAAUACUGUGACGACUUGGUCAGAAACACACAUUCUAUGAUAUUCUUAACCAUAGAAUGGAAAUGGUCGCGUACUUUUAACUUUUCUUUUUGGGUACUAAGAUUCUGUGGCUUUUGUAUAAACUUGAAACCAUGUAAUUGUCACUCAUCAAUCAUACGAUGAUAUUUUUGCAUAGUUGAAAUACAUAUGAUCUAUAUUUGUACAUUUUCUGCCUAGGAGAACUGUAUUGAGUCUUAGCCCCAAAAAUCCUGCACUGAGGUUAUGAAUACAGAUGUCAAGUAAAUUAGUUUCAGUGUUUGUUUAUAAAGAAGCAUAUAUAGCAGUGAGGUUUCAAUUUCUUUGCAGGUUGGACAUUGGAGUAUUUAUAUGAUAACACUGAAAAUUGUAUAUUCAGCAACAUUUAUAUCUCAAGGUUUUAAUUGUAACUUUAGAUUUCCAUAAUGAAAACAAUGAUUAUGACAGGGACAAAGAACUAAAUUGAUUAUUGACUAUUUGGAGCCUGUUAGCUUCAAGGGCAAGAGUUUAGGCCUGUAUACCUUUGACAGAUCUCUCCCACUAUUACUUGAAGCCUUUUUCCUUAGUGAUUAUCAUCUACAUAUGAUUAUCUCAUUUAUAGAUAAUUUUGCAGUUGUACAUAUUAAUCUCUUUGUAUUCUGUUAUCACUUUAGUGAUUUGAGUUCUACUACAAUUGUAACUUCUGUAUGCAUAUCAAUAUAAAUACAGCACAAAAUUUGCGGCUGUUUCCUUA